GACGAACGCUGGCGGCGUGCUUAACACAUGCAAGUCGAACGGAAAGGCCCUGCUUUUGUGGGGUGCUCGAGUGGCGAACGAGUGAGUAACACGUGAGUAACCUGCCCAUGACUUAGGGAUAACUUCAGGAAACUGGGGCUAAUACCGGAUAGGAGCUCCUGCUGCAUGGUGGGGGUUGGAAAGUUUCGGCGGUUGGGGAUGGACUCGCGGCUUAUCAGCUUGUUGGUGGGGUAGUGGCUUACGAAGGCUUGGACGGGUAGCCGGCCUGAGAGGGUGACCGGCCCCAUUGGGACUGUGAUACGGCCCGGAGUCCUACGGGAGGCAGCAGUGGGGAAUAUUGCACAAUGGGCCGAAGCCUGAUGCAGCAACGCCGCGUGCUGGAUGACGGCCUUCGGUUUGUAAACCGCUUUCGCCUGUAACGAAGCGUGAGUGACGGUAAUGGGUAAAGAAGCACCGGCUAACUACGUG
rnacentral:rRNA from 1 species